rnacentral:lncRNA from 1 species
CAAAACUAUGCUAUCGUAUGAUGUUUAAAAUGAAUGAACAUGGACGUUUAAAUUGGUGUUCUAAAGUGCAAAGACUAUUAUUUUCAAAUGGAUUUGGUGUUGUAUGGGAAAGUCAAAGUGUUGGAGAUGCAAAAUUGUUUUUACAUUUAUUUAAACAGAGACUUACAGAUAUAAACUUACAAUCUUGGUCAGAUUAUAUUGGCAACUCAUCAAAGUGUGCUUUUUAUUCAAAAGUUAAGGAUUAUAUUUGUAUAAAUGAAAAUAUACAGAAACUGUCAUAUAAUCUUAGAUAUGAAAUUUUUUCAAUUUUAUGUUCAAACCAUAAGCUAGCUAUUGAACAAGGUAGACAUGAAAACCAACCAAGGGAAAAUAGGUUGUGUAAAAUUUGUAAUACAAAUGAAAUAGAAGAUGAAUUCCAUUUUGUACUAGUUUGUCCAAUUUUGGCUGAUAUAAGGAGAAAUUUUUUACCAUUAUGGUGUCAAAGUAAUUGUAACAGAGACACUUUAACUAGUCUUUUUAGAACAGAAAAUUUAAUUACUUUGAAAAAUCUGGCUGUAUUUUUGAAAAAAGCUAAAUGCUGUAGAGAAGAAGUCUUGUCACUAUGACUUGAUCAAAUGAAUAUAU